CUAAUCUCUGUGAGGAACCACAGACCCCAAGGCUGGAAACUUCCAGAAUCCUCCAGCCCCUGAUCCUCCUCGGGGACCCCUGUGGCCUGUCUCACUGAGCAGUCUUCCAUUGUAGAUGUCUCGGCUGCCCUACAAGGGAGUCUCUUUUCAGGAGUGGGAACAGGUAUGGUCACUGCUGCUCGAUGUCUAGAAAGUAGGAACCAAGAACCUAUGGAAAUACCAGGCACAGCCUUUCCAUUGUCCUCCAGAGCAGGACAAACAGUCCAGGUGAUGUCAGGAGCCCAGGUCUCCAGCUGGAGGGAACGUCAACCCUACAGUGGUAGCAGGGGCCCAUCGCACAUCCUAGGAACAAAUGGUAACGUAGGCAUCACAGGUAAGCUGGGCUUGGUACCCCUCCCUGGCUUCCGAAAGAAGCCAAACAAGGAGCUUUCUGCAGAAUGAAAUCUCUUUUUCAUCCAGAAGCACUGCUGACUGUUUGGUGAUUGCCAUUGUGGCAUUGAGCUUUUUGUCCAUUCUGAUGUUGGACUGGUUUCUCCUCUUGACCCUGGCCUACAGACCAUAAAGGAGAACAGCAAGAGGCCCCCAGCAAACAUCCACAGAUGGCCCUGGACAUCAGCCAGAUUCUGAGAAACAUGUCAUGUUUUGGGAGGGCUAAGGCAUCAACCUCACCCUGCAGGAAUCCCAGUGAAUAUAUUGCCACCAUCCUGGAGCUGCAUAGUGUAAUGGCACCAGCAGAUCUGCCUGUUCACAGACUUCCUGUACUACCCAGUCCUGAGGAGAGAUGCUUCUUCAGGGUCUGUGACCUGGAGCACAACUUUACACACCAUCAUCCUGGAGCAGCACUGCACCCUCACUAGCCAGGGUGUUGAUGACUUCCUCAAGGCCAAGGCCACAUUCAAGAUUUUUGACUUCAGUGAUGCGUUUGUGCUGGGCAAGUUGGACUUCUAAGGGAUCUUAAUUCAGGAGAUAGAAUGCAGCUUGAGAUCAACUGUCUGAUCAAAUAAUUUGAACUUGAUCUGGAGGGCUCUGGGGAGCCAUGGAAAGUAGUGGAUAAAUGAGGGACAGUCAGAUAUGUUUUAGAGAUUAUAGUGGAAGAAUGCCUGGAAGGGAUGAACAAGAGCCAGGAGACCAGGGAGGGAGCUUGUGGGGAGGUCUGGAGAUGGCAAGGGAGGGAUCCUGCUUGAAUAAAGGGUCUUCAGGGACUGUCGCAGGUGCUCUCAGAGCAAGUGUGUUCAGAAGUCUUGUCUCCAGGAGAAAAUGGGAAGGAGGUGUCAGACAAGGAAAUAUAAAUGGAAGCUAGCAUGUUUAUGAGUGCCAAUCGUGGCGCCGGUGUGGACUACUGUGGGAACAGGAGUCUCUCCAUCCAGAGACAUGGUGGAUGGACCCUAUAUCUCUCCAUGCUGCCAUUCCUUUCCCUCCCAUUCUCCUGAGGGCCUCAGUGCAUGGGCACUGUCCAACCUCUGGUGCUGAAGCAGCCAAGAGGCCCAAGACUGGGUGGCUGCCACUUAGGAUAUGACAGCACAGCCAGUGGCCUCCACUGCAUCCCGUACAACCUCUGAAGACACCCAGACACUGAGAGUGCAGCCACCACGUGGUGCAAGAGUUCUGAGGGAUCGCAAUCCUGAAGACGAUGAAUGGAGGGUGCAGGACCUCAUGGCCUGUUCCCCAUCCCCUCUCAUUGGCUCUGCUCCAGGUGGUGAAGGGGCAUAACGUUUCUGUCAGUUCUGCCAUGCUUGCCUAGCAGGAAAAGGAGCAGAGUCCAGAAGCAGAGCCCUGUACCCAGCCUGCCUAACAAGGGAGAAUUUGUAGGCUUUGUGGACAGAGAGAGCUGGGAGUCCAUACCUUCACCCACUAACUUGCUGAGAUAUUGGUAAAAUCAGUUCUUUUCUGAA